AACACUGUUCACCUGACGACCGAGGUCAGCCUGCAGGCGCCGUGCCUGCCACAAGGAGUUGCUAGAGCGCGAUGGCCAAGUAAAGCACCCCCCGGAUUACAUUUUUUGCCAUGUAGUGGUGUAACCAACUACUGGAACUACAAUAUUAUUUUUUGUGCAAAAAUAUGGGUGAAGUAGGCAAACAUUUUCUUUCUUUUUUGGCAUCAGACCUGCCUAAUUCUCACUUGAAACACUUUUUGUGUGCCUAAUUCUCAGUUGUUGUGUUUAAUAGGCUAAAUCAUUCAUUCUGUUAACAUCUGACUACAGAGUGAUCUGUCUUGCAAUUUGCAGUCUAUGACAUUUUAGAUUUAGAGAUAUUUUUUCACCAAGAAGUUUGUGAAAGUAUUUUUUUUCAAAGUAACUUUAGUUAAGUAAACUAUAUUUUUCUUAAGGGUAGCUUUAGUGUAGCUUAACUUCCUCAAGUGUUAAGUAGUUGGCAGCUUGGUAAAUUAUAUUUUCAGAGUAGCUUUCCCAACACUGCUAACUUACCAGCAAAGCCUAUGUGUGGCUGAGCAAGCCUAGCUAGUACCUUCUUUGCCAGCUCACUAACGUUAGCGAGCUACAGUAGCCCAGUUUAGACAUAACUACCAGCUAUCCUCAUUGCCACAUACCUGACUUGCUUAAUGCCAAAGUUGGAGUGCUGUAUUAAAAGUGAUAAUUUCCAACAAUUUCUAAGUCAUCCUUUUUAGGACCUUACUCAUGAAUGCUGGUGCUGUGUUAAACUUCAAACUGUGAGUAUGAUACAAUUUUUGUCUUGCCCUGAAGACAUUGUGCUAGUUGUGCCCGGUAACACUAAACAGAGAAUAUUGCUGGACCACAUAUUAUUUUUACUAGCUCAUCAACACAAGACAAUCAACACUGUCCUCUAUUACAGGAAGAGAAAGGAAUCACAAGGAGAAUUUGGAGAUGAUCCUCGUGGACCAACUACAGGUGACAACAUCAGAGUUCCUCCUAAGUCUACGCUACUUCCGGAUCUUCAUUGCCUUAUGGAACAUAUUCAUGAUGUUUUGCAUGAUUCUAUUGUUUGGAUAGUGAUCAACUUCAUUGUUGGAUUGGGAACCCCUGCAAAAAAAACACGAAAUAUUCAAAUUUUUUGAGUUGAGAUUCGUGUCGGAUCCUGUGACCAUUCUGUGCAAUAUCUUUGCGCUAGUUAGUUGUACCUGCACCAAAACUACAGUAUUUUUCCUUCAUAGCUUUUUAAAUAGGGAGCCAAUUUAGCCCUUUUAGUUCCAUGACUGACCAAAACUGGUUCUCAUGGCUCUCUCGUCCCUCUGCAGCAGACAUAUGGUUAGCAAUAUGUUUGAAACAUCGAAUCGCAAUAAAAUCACAGUAUCGAAUCGCAAUACAUAUAGAAUUGUGAGAAUCGCAAUGCAUAUUGUAUCGGCAUCUCAGUAUCGUGUUAAUAUCGAAUCAUGAGGUCCCUGGCAACUCCCAGCCCUAUUGCUGACCUGUUAUCUAUAGUCCUCCUUUUCUUCAAAACCUUGUGAAUAGAAUGAGAAAAUAUUGAAAUCCACAACCAUUUGAUAUGUUUGACGUUUGUCUUACAUAGGCCUUCUGAUGUUAAGAGCAGUCAGACUUCAUUUUAUCAUUGCUUUGUUGCAUACUUUUGUCUAUGAUCUAGUUUUGUAUAAUAAACCUUUACUCUAAAAUGCACUUGGUGUUUUCAUCAGUACCGUUUUCAUCUCUUCUUUUCUUUUCCUUUCCUAAUUUAGGAUUUGAGCAGUGUGUCAUCUGAUUCAGUGGUUCUCAACCUUAUUUGGUUCCUGCACUCAAUCACAUUGUGCAUUGUUUGACACACACUAGCUCAUCUGUGUAAACAUGUUAUAGUUUAAAU